UACGUAGGGGGCGAGCGUUGUCCGAAGUUACUGGGCGUAAAGCGCGCGUAGGCGGGAAAUUAAGUGAGAAGUGAAAGGCUGGGGCUCAACCUCAUGCAGUGCUUCUCAUACUGGUUUUCUUGAGGGCGGUAGAAGAAAAGUGGAAUGGCUGGUGUAGCGGUAGAAAUGCGUAGAUAUCAGUCGGAACACCGGUGGCGAAGGCGGCUUUUUGGGCCGUUCCUGACGCUGAGGCGCGAAAGCCAGGGGAGCGAACGGG
rnacentral:rRNA from 1 species